rnacentral:rRNA from 1 species
AUUGAACGCUGGCGGCAGGCCUAACACAUGCAAGUCGAACGAGUGGCGGACGGGUGAGUAAUGUCUGGGAAACUGCCCGAUGGAGGGGGAUAACUACUGGAAACGGUAGCUAAUACCGCAUACCAUCGGAUGUGCCCAGAUGGGAUUAGCUGGUUGGUGGGGUAACGGCUCACCUAGGCGACGAUCCCUAGCUGGUCUGAGAGGAGGACCAGCCACACUGGAAGUGGGACACGGUCCAGACUCCUAAGAGACGCAGCAGUGGGGAAUAUUGCACAAUGGGCGCAAGCCUGGUGCAGCCAUGCCGCGUGUAUGAAGAAGGCCUUCGGGUUGUAAAGUACUUUCAGCGGGGGGGCGUUACUCGCAGAAGAAGCACCGGCUAACUCCGUGCCAGCAGCCGCGGUAAUUC